rnacentral:rRNA from 1 species
GACGAACGCUGGCGGCGUGCUUAACACAUGCAAGUCGAGCGGUAAGGCCCUUUCGGGGGUACACGAGCGGCGAACGGGUGAGUAACACGUGGGUGACCUGCCCUCAGCUCUGGGACAAGCCUGGGAAACUGGGUCUAAUACUGGAUAUGACUCCACGGUGCAUGUCGUGGGGUGGAAAGCCUUGUGCGGCUGAGGAUGGGCCCGCGGCCUAUCAGCUUGUUGGUGGGGUGAUGGCCUACCAAGGCGACGACGGGUAGCCGGCCUGAGAGGGCGACCGGCCACACUGGGACUGAGACACGGCCCAGACUCCUACGGGAGGCAGCAGUGGGGAAUCUUGCGCAAUGGGCGAAAGCCUGACGCAGCGACGCCGCGUGAGGGAUGACGGCCU